rnacentral:lncRNA from 1 species
GGAAGACUUGGUAAAGUUUACCAAAUUAUCCUUUAUCAAAAAAUGUGUCAAUAUCUUUUUUUUUAAUUAAGUGGGACCAAUAAGGGUAAAAGGGUAAUUGUGCCUUUAAAAAGUUUCCAAAUAAGGAAAGGCAACACUUAUUUUGGGAUGGAUUAAAAAGGAAAUGAUGACACAUAAUUUGGGACGGAGGAAGUAUUUCUCUAGAAUGAAUAUAUAUGUCAUCUAUGAUAUCGUAUCAGUGUAUGAUAUAUGGAGUACCAAGUUAGUGUAAUAAAUAAUUAAAUAUUUUUCUUGAGGAAUGAACUCAUAGUCCUCU